AGGACGAACGCUGGCGGCGUGCUUAACACAUGCAAGUCGAGCGGAAAGGCCCUUCGGGGUACUCGAGCGGCGAACGGGUGAGUAACACGUGAGGAACCUGCCCUAGACUUUGGGAUAACCCUCGGAAACGGGGGCUAAUACCGAAUACGACACGGUCUCGCAUGAGAUCCGUGUGGAAAGUUUUUCGGUCUGGGAUGGUCUCGCGGCCUAUCAGCUUGUUGGUGGGGUGAUGGCCUACCAAGGCGACGACGGGUA
rnacentral:rRNA from 1 species